AGAAAUUUCAUAAUAAAUUAAACUCGUGAAAACAUUCUUAAUGCUUUCCCAAGAAAAUAUUUUUACAACUUCCCAAGCUGUAAAAUAUUAAAUGAUGAUCUUAUAAUAUUAAGCUUAAACCUUGAGUCUUACUAUUCAAGUUGGAUUUUAAGAUAGACCAUGCAUGAGUAGUAACGAACUUUAUAGCUAGAGAAAUGAGUCACUAAUCUCUAGAAGACUUGAAAGCAUGCAGCUUCUUGAUGUAUCUUGAAUUACAAAAAAAUACAUUUAGAGAAAGCUAACAUGUCAAAUCAACAUUUUAAAUUUUAAAAACGUUAAAUAAAACCUUACAUUAAAACAAAAUAAAAUGUCCCAUUUUCAACUUUUACCUACCCACACAUUACCCCAAGGCAUUGGCUAGAUAUAGUCAACUUGCUUAAUUAUGUUUUCCAAUCACAAAUAAGUAAGGAGAAUCACCAAAGGGUUGAUUCUAAAGAGAAGAAUUUGGAAUCAUAAUAAAUUGGCUUAAACCCUACACAAGUAAACUCUUGGGUAGACUCAUGUGAGUAGAGUCAUUGAAUCAACAUGGCUAAAACAUAGUCAAAAUUUAAGAGAGAGA
rnacentral:lncRNA from 1 species